rnacentral:tRNA from 1 species
CGGCACGUAGCGCAGCCUGGCAGCGCACCGUCAUGGGGUGUCGGGGGUCGGAGGUUCAAAUCCUCUCGUGCCGACCA